ensembl:lncRNA
CAGAGGUUAAGAUGCUGUCACUAAAUGACUUUUAAAGAUCGCUUGGUCUUAAAAGAGAGCUCCUUCAGAAGUUUUAAAAAACCAAUAGAGCACAAAAUUUGAAAAAAAUGAAAGGCGAUACUUAUUUGAAGAGGAGAGAUACUUCUGAAGUUUGAUAUACACUUAACUAGAUGUAAAAGUCUAAAAUAAAAACAGUUGUAAAGAAUGAUUUGAGACAGCUGCUGCGGUAAAUGUGACACCAGAAGAUGCUCAGCCGGUGAGAGGUGGCCUUUUAGGGAAAGAGCUCAGAAGAGGGUGUGGCAACCUCUGAGACUGGAGUUACAGCUAUGAACUGUCACGUGACAUAGGUGCUGGGAACCGAACCUGGAUCCUCGGGAACUGCAGAAAGUGCUCUCAAAUACCGUUCCACCACUCCAGCCCCCACUACAGGGAUUUUGAAGAAAAUAUUUACAUGAUGAUUAUGGUGGUACAAAGGAAGUGUACUGAAUCUGAUCAUCAAAACACAACUGCAUAUCAAUAACAUCGAAGGAACAGUAAACUGAGCUUCAAUGUAUAAUAGGGCUCAGAGAACCAGUGGAAGAGGAGAAAGAAGGAGUAUAAGAGCCAGAGGGAUGGGGGACAGCAAGAAAACAAGGCCCUGUAAGCCAACGGGACUGAUGUACACAUGAACUUACAGAGACUGAGGCAUCGUGCACAGGGCUUACAUGGGUCUGCACCAGCUGGGGUCCUCUUGCUGCAAGGAGAAGCAGACACAUGCCCCGAGCCCUAACCAGAAGCAUUGAUAACCAGUCGAUGGAUAACCACUUGCAAAUGAAAACUUCGUUUUCUUCAAGGGAGUUGCACUGGGGAAACAAACGACACUGAAGGGUAGGCUGCUUGCACUGCAGUAACGACUCUGAAGGGUAGGCUGCUUGCACUGCAGUAACGACUCUGAAGGGUAGACUGCUUGCACU